rnacentral:rRNA from 1 species
UGGGGAAUAUUGGGCAAUGGGCGAAAGCCUGACCCAGCAACGCCGCGUGAGGGAAGAAGGGUUUCGGCUCGUAAACCUCUGUCCUAUGGGACGAAGGAAGUGACGGUACCAUAGGAGGAAGCCCCGGCUAACUACGUGCCAGCAGCCGCGGUAAUACGUAGGUGGCGAGCGUUGUCCGGAUUUACUGGGUGUAAAGGGCGUGUAGGCGGGACUGCAAGUCAGAUGUGAAAUACGGAGGCUUAACCUCCGAGCUGCAUUUGAAACUGCAAUUCUUGAGUGAUGGAGAGGUAAGCGGAAUUCCCAGUGUAGCGGUAAAAUGCGUAGAUAUUGGGAGGAACACCAGUGGCGAAGGCGGCUUACUGGACAUUAACUGACGCUGAGGCGCGAAAGUGUGGGGAGCAAACAGGAUUAGAUACCCUGGUAGU